rnacentral:lncRNA from 1 species
GAGAAAGUGAAGUUGCUCAGUCGUCUUCGACUCUUAGCGACCCCAUGGACUGCAGCCCACCAGGCUCCUCUGUCCAUGGGAUUCUCCGGGCAAGAGUACUGGAGUGGGGUGCCGUUGCCUUCUCCAGCGAUUAGAGCUAGAUACUCCUAAAUUCUCUUUAUUCACCUGAGACUUGUUCAGACUCCUGUCUUAUCCCAGGUUUUUUCUAUGACUCCGGACGCAAAGGUAAAAAGAAAGUAGUCCUGGUCAUUAUAAACCUCACAGUCUAGCGGAGGAAAAGAGAUAUAAACAGCGUAAAUGCCAUUUGCAGUAAAACUUUGCAGGAAAUGUUCGGAGUGGAAGAUGGGUGUGAAGGGAAAUAUUCUGCUGGCAUCUGCUGCGUGCACCGUGCUAGGUGCGUUCUUUGUGUUCUCUUGUCUGCUGCUCUUGGAGAAUACCUGACUGCAGCUCAUGAUGUACCAGCAUCUCCGCUUCUUCAUGAAUUACUCCUCGCUGGGGAAGAUUCUCACACAAAUAUUGGAGACCGCAGCCUGGCCCAGUUUCAAGUCACUGAGAUUCUCAUGCACUGAUACUCUUGAAGGUAUUUUUCAAAUAUGUCCAUUCUUAAAAUGCACUGUGUUUAACAUGUUCUUGAAAUUCAUGCUUUUCUCUGUUGAAGAUACUGAUUUCUCUGAAAAGGCCUGAUUGUUUUCUUCCCUCUUGAGUCUAAGACGUUUUACCCAACUGUAGCUGGAAUGAAGGGCUGACCUUGUUUUCCUCGGUGAUCCUGACGGUGUUCACUCACACGGUGUUUUCUCUUUUCCCUGUUUACUUAUUUAUUAUUUAUGCAUGUUACUGGAGUAUAGUUGAUUUCUAAUGUUGUGGCAGCGUGUCUUCUGAACUCCUGGUGUGGUGCCGGUGGAUCCCCUCGGGGUGUGCGGUGCUGAGUCACAACUAGGUCCCAUAGACCUUCCAUCAUGGUUUGCAGUCUUGAUUCACCUCAAGGAAAGGGAGCUUCCUGCUCCACAGCCCCAGCCCAUGGGGAGUCCAGCUCUCUCUCAUCCAGGCUGCCGCUCUGCAUCC